CGGGCGGGUCCCAGGGGCUGGGGCGGCAGAGCGCAUCCCGGAGGCAGGACCCCCGGGCGGCGGCGGCGUUCCGCCCCCGCAGGCGCGUCGCACCCCACAGGUCUUCGCCCGGCGCCCGUUCAGAGGAAAAAUUACGAAGCCUACCGGGCUGCGCACAGAGCGUUAAACCCGAGCGGGCACCCUUCGGAGCGGGCGCUGCGCCCGCGGGUGGGCGGCGCAGGCCGGGAGGGGCUGAGGCGGCUGCGGCUGGAGCGGGGACAAGGACGAAAGCCGGGCUUCCCGCUAGGAGGACGCCCCCAGAAUAAGCCAUGCAAGCGCACAGUCCCCAGUUUCCAGCUCGCUGAUGGUCUGGGUGUGGGGCGAGAACGAACUGCAGAGGAACCUGGGAUGACGCCAGAGUUCUGGCCUGAAAAACCAGAAGAACGGAGUUUGCGUUUUCUGAGAUGGGGUCUUCCUGGGAUGAGCAUAAAGAUAAUGAAAACUAGAUACGGCAGAAACAGCAGUGGAAGUAACGAGAAACACUGAGCACGGACGCCUGUGCACCCUCGC
rnacentral:lncRNA from 1 species